UACGAAGGGGGCUAGCGUUGUUCGGAAUUACUGGGCGUAAAGCGUGCGCAGGCGGCCAUCCAAGUCAGUGGUGAAAGCCCGGAGCUCAACUCCGGAAUUGCCAUUGAAACUGUUUGGCUCGAGUACGAGAGAGGUGAGUGGAAUUCCCAGUGUAGAGGUGAAAUUCGUAGAUAUUGGGAAGAACACCGGUGGCGAAGGCGGCGUCACUGGCUC
rnacentral:rRNA from 1 species